AUUGAACGCUGGCGGCAGGCCUAACACAUGCAAGUCGAGCGGAGCGGCGGACGGGUGAGUAAUACCUAGGAAUCUGCCUCGUACUGGGGGAUAACGUCCGGAAACGGGCGCUAAUACCGCAUACUAUCAGAUUAGCCUAGGUCGGAUUAGCUAGUGGGUGGGGUAAAGGCAUACCAAGGCGACGAUCCGUAACUGGUCUGAGAGGAUGAUCAGUCACACUGGAACUGAGACACGGUCCAGACUCCUACGGGAGGCAGCGGUGGGGAAUAUUGGACAAUGGGCGAAAGCCUGAUCCAGCCAUGCGGCGUGGGUGAAGAAGGUCUUCGGAUUGAAAAGCACGUUAAGUUGGGAGGCGUUACCAACAGAAUAAGCACCGGCUAACUUCGUGCCAGCCGCCGCGGUAAUUC
rnacentral:rRNA from 1 species